rnacentral:tRNA from 1 species
AGUAGCUCAGUGGUAGAGCGGUCGGCUCUUAACUGACUGGUCGUAGGUUCGAAUCCUACUU